GUAGGGGGCAAGCGUUAUCCGGAUUUACUGGGUGUAAAGGGAGCGUAGACGGAUGGACAAGUCUGAUGUGAAAGGCUGGGGCUCAACCCCGGGACUGCAUUGGAAACUGCCCGUCUUGAGUGCCGGAGAGGUAAGCGGAAUUCCUAGUGUAGCGGUGAAAUGCGUAGAUAUUAGGAGGAACACCAGUGGCGAAGGCGGCUUACUGGACGGUAACUGACGUUGAGGCUCGAAAGCGUGGGGAGCAAACAGGAUUAGAUACCCUGGUAGUCCACGCGGUAAACGAUGGAUACUCGCUGUUGGCGAUAUACUGUCAGCGGCCAAGCGAAAGCAUUAAGUAUCCCACCUGGGGAGU
rnacentral:rRNA from 1 species